GUUGAACGCUGGCGGCAGGCCUAACACAUGCAAGUCGAGCGGUAGCAGGAAGCUGGUUGCUGCUUCGCGGAGGAGAGGGGGGCGGGGGAGAAAUGUGUGGGAAACUGCCGGAGGGAGGGGGGGGACAACUGGGCGCGGGUGGGAAUACCGCAUAAAGUCGCAAAAUGAAAGAGGGGGAGGUUAGGGACUCUCGCGAGCGUGUGAGGCUAGGUGGGAUUAGCUAGUCGGUGGGGGAACGGGUGACCGAGGCGAGGAUCCGUAGCUGGGGUGAGAGGAUGAGCAGCCACCCUGGAACGGAGACACGGCCCAGACCCCUACGGGAGGCAGCAGUGGGGAAUAGUGCACAAUGGGCGCAAGCCUGAUGCAGCCAUGCCGCGUGUAGGAAGAAGGCCUUCGGGUUUUAAAGUUCUUCCAGCGUGGAGGAAGGGAAUAAAGGUAAUACCUUGGCUUAUUGACGGUACCCGAAGAAUAAGCACCGGCUAACUCCGUG
rnacentral:rRNA from 1 species